rnacentral:snoRNA from 1 species
UGGUUGUGAUGCAGUUUAGCCAAAUCAGACGGAGUUGUGCUUCCUAAGGGCCAUCGAAUCUGACACCUUAGGUAGAAGUGCAAUUCUAUGAAGAUGACAAUGCGAGUUUGUUUAGUGCUGACCCGC